rnacentral:rRNA from 1 species
UUCUGCCCUUUGUACACACCGCCCGUCACUACUACCGAUUGAAUGGCUUAGUGAGGCCUCGGGACUGGCUUAGCGCGAGAGGCGACUCUUGCACGGAGCUGGGAACCUGGUCAAACUUGGUCAUUUAGAGGAAGUACAAGUCGUAACAAGGUUUCCGUAGGUGAACCUGCGGAAGAAGCAUUA